CUCGGGUGUCUCCAUAUAUGACCAGCCCUCGCCGCACGUCGAUUCCCCACUCGCCCAUCCCCGGAAAAUCCCCAACCACAGGCACCACUGGCUCUGGCGCGAUUUCAAAGCCUCCUCCGCUCUCGAGAGAUGUGAAGGCCGCCGAUCUACCGGGUUAGUGCCGAGCCGCCUCCCUCAUCCCUCACAUCGCCCCACAACUGUCGAGUCGUACCACGCAAGUAAAUCGAGGUUCUGUGAUGUGACCUAGAUCAUCUAUAGGCACUGCCACGCCCGUUUGAGCAUCCAUCUCGCCUAUUGAUUCUGCAGGCGAAGGUCAUCCUGGUCCCUCCACGUGCCAGAGAUGCCCGAGCCUGUGUGUUGCCGAUACCUGCAUGAGCACACGGUCGAGUAGUUCGAUCCAAAGAGGUGAAGAAGUUCAGGGAGAGACAUGGGUCUCUACUGGAGUAGACAGCGAUAGAGGAUAAAUGAGAAAGAUGGAUACGUUGAUAGGCAUACUGCAUUGAUCAUUGUGGCCACCACCACUUUUGGCCGUGUGACAGGCUACCUGCGAAUCUACAAACUAGGGAGACAAAUUGCAAUGAAGUUUUCUUGACCAUUUGAUGAUUUAUUUGUGUUUGGUUUUGCCGAUUAUGUGCAUAUACUUGGAUGUAGUAUUGCUUAUUCCGACUGUGUGUCUAGAAAUCUAGGAGGUUUGGACAGCAAGUGAUUGUUUUUUCUGCCAUGCCACAUUUUCUUGGCAACUCAACGUAAAUACGAGUACAUCUUAUCCUUACAAUGUGUGUCGCCUCUACCCAUUGUUUAAACUUGCACUUCUGUAUAAUCAAAUUUCAUAGUUCUUCUCGACGCCCAUCAUCAUCAUGGCCCAAUCCUCAGCCACCCCAUUGCAAGAUGUGAUUACUGUGGUCAAAUAGAUUGGUUCUCUUCUGAUCUCUUCUGAACAUUGGAGUAACAUAUCACCAUUUGGCCAGCUCUAUCUCUUCUGCACCUCUUCGUCCGUGGAAAAGGGAUGAAGCUAUUGGUGUUGAAAUGUGGAACACAUGUCUGAAGUUGGCACCAACGCUCCAACGCAAGCUUUUACAUGGCUUUUGUUACAGAAGAUGUAUCACAGAAGCACUUUAUUAUAAAUGCAAAAUCCUGGCAGCAACUUUUGUUCAGCACUCAUGCUUGUAAUCAUUAGCAAGGCUGUGAAGAAAAGGGUGUGAAAUAUUUUUAUUGGUGCAUGCUGCAAA